rnacentral:rRNA from 1 species
CAUGCCGCGUGCAGGAUGACGGCCCUAUGGGUUGUAAACUGCUUUUAUACGGGAAGAAACGCGCCCACGUGUGGGCGUCUGACGGUACCGUAAGAAUAAGGACCGGCUAACUCCGUGCCAGCAGCCGCGGUAAUACGGAGGGUCCGAGCGUUAUCCGGAAUCAUUGGGUUUAAAGGGUCCGUAGGCGGGCCUGUAAGUCAGGGGUGAAAGUUUGUGGCUCAACCAUAAAAUUGCCUUUGAUACUGCAGGUCUUGAGUCAUGGUGGGGUCGCCGGAACAUGUGGUGUAGCGGUGAAAUGCAUAGAUAUCACAUAGAACACCGAUCGCGAAGGCAGGUGGCCAACCAUGUACUGACGCUGAUGGACGAAAGCGUGGGUAGCGAACGGGAUUAGAUACCCCGGUAGUCCACGCCGUAAACGAUGGAUACUAGCUGUGGGGACUUCGGUCUCCGUGGCCAAGCGAAAGUGAUAAGUAUCCCACCUGGGGAGUACGUUCGCAAGAAUGAAACUCAAAGGAAUUGACGGGGGCCCGCACAAGCGGUGGAGCAUGUGGUUUAAUUCGAUGAUACGCGAGGAACCUUACCAGGGCUUAAAUGCAGGCUGCAUAAGCUAGAGAUAGCUUUUUCUUCGGACUGCCUGCAAGGUGCUGCAUGGUUGUCGUCAGCUCGUGCCGUGAGGUGUCAGGUUAAGUCCUAUAACGAGCGCAACCCCUACCGUUAGUUGCCAGCAUGUCAAGAUGGGGACUCUAACGGGACUGCCGGUGCAAACCGUGAGGAAGGUGG